AAUACUUAACAAUCCCAGAAAUACAUUUGCUGAGGCUGUCUAUGAAUCUGAUCGUGGCAGCUCUUAUGUGUCAUACCCCGGUUCGACACAGUCUUUAACUCCAGUGAAUAUUGCUGCUGAGUGUCCAUAUUUGGAAAACAUGGAACGUUCAUUUGCUUUAUUUAUGUGCUCAUAAUGCAACUUUAUUGCUAUGGCAGAAACUAAUCCUGACAUAUAUACUACCAUGCAGCCAUACUUGAGCGCACAUGUUGUUCACUUCAGUAAAUAGCAUUCUGACUACUGCCCUUAAACUCGAGACUAGAAUGGGCAGUUCAUAGAGAAACUGACGGCUGAAAGCUGAUGUGGCUUGCUCGAACCUGUUGAAGCUUGCAGCAGCCUGUAGUUUCACCUGCUGAGUGUCAGGCGUCGUUGUGUAGAUGUGAGGAAGAGAGGACCCAAACGCAAGACUCACAUGUUGGUGAAGGCUGAUGUUUAUUGUGAUGAACAGAUGAACUCAACAUGAGAAGUAUAGCUGAUUGACUGGAAAGACUGGCUGAAUGACUGAACUGGAACACAGAUGCGGGAUCGACGAUGACAAGACAAUGAACUGGAGGAAACUAAGGACUUAAAUACACAGGCUAAUGACCGGUCAGUACACAGCUGAACAUAAUCUGACUAAUAAGACAUAGGAGGUAGAACUAGACAUGAUGCACAUAGACAGAAAGCUGGCACGGUAAACCAGGAAACAUGGACAUGUGGAAAAUAAACAGAACAAGAAGAAAUUGAAAACACUGGGUCAACGGCCCAGGAACCAUGUGAGAUAUGGAAGAUGACUUCAUCCUCUGUAAUGAUGCAAUCUCCUGGCCUUUGCAGGCAAGCCAGAGGAGAAGAGGCAGAGGGGAGAAGCCCACCCAUCAUUUUUCACUUUCUACAAGCCGCUGUUAGACGGUAGUUUGAAGAACCAAACCAAUUGGUCGUAGUAAUUCGGAUGCUGACGAGCUGGGAAGAACUUUGCUUUCAUAUCAAAACUCACUUUUACAGUUAUGAUUGAUUUUGCUUUCAUGUCAUCAUGUUUUGUGUGACUGUAGUUUAUUUAUUCAAUAACUCCUCUCAGUUAUUAGAGGUACACAAUGUGCAUGUACCUUCAUGUGUGGUUAUCAUGCAUUGUUGUGUAUGUAUAAAUCAACUCUCUCUGGGAUAUACUGAGAGUUUAGUUAACUACUGAUAAUGAACUACAGACAUCAGAGCCCUAAGGAGCUCAUCCUUACUAAUUCUCUUCCACUAUGCAGCAAUCUCUUUUAUAGUAUCUUGUGAUGAUACCUUGAUAAUGACAUCAGUGGGAUAUUGGACGAGCUAUUUAAACAUCACAAAUGACAAAAUGUAAAUAAUAAAAAGAAAUAUGUAACACUUAGUGCUAAGUGCUAAAUAUGUGCCAUAAAAAUGAUUUAACAGGCAGUCAGUAGAUGAUUAUGGACCAUCACUUUACCUUUUGUAAAGCAGAAUCAAAGUUCCAGGCAGCAAAACUUGCACAGUACAUAUCUGCUGGCAAUACAAUUUUUAGUCAGUGAAUUCCCAAAGACAAGAUUUGAUUAUGUCACGAUACAUAAAAAGUAUCAAACUUUAGGCAAACUAUGUGAAAAGCCUGAUUAGCUAGGAUCGCUCUUGA